rnacentral:rRNA from 1 species
UGAGGAAUAUUGCGCAAUGGGGGCAACCCUGACGCAGCAACGCCGCGUGAGUGAGGAAGGUUUUCGGACCGUAAAGCUCUGUCGAGCGGGAAGAAAUGCAUGGUGGCUAAUAUCCAUCAUGCUUGACGGUACCGCUAAAGGAAGCACCGGCUAACUCCGUGCCAGCAGCCGCGGUAAUACGGGGGGUGCGAGCGUUGUUCGGAAUUAUUGGGCGUAAAGAGCGUGUAGGCGGCCGAAUAAGUCAGAUGUGAAAUCCCUGGGCUUAAGACAGGACGUGCAUUGGUAUGGAGGAGGCUAGAGGAGGGGAGAGGAAGGGGGAAUUCGUGGUGAAGAGGUGAAUUUCGAAGAUUUCAGGAGGAGCACCGGUGGGGAGGGCGACUUUCUGGCCCUAUACUGACGCUGAGACGCGAGAGCGUGGGUAGCAA